rnacentral:rRNA from 1 species
GGAGUCACGCCAGAAAUCUUACCCGGAGAGACAGCAGAAUGAAGGUCAAGCUGAAGACUUUACCAGACAAGCUGAGAGGUGGUGCAUGGCCGUCGCCAGCUCGUGCCGUGAGAUGUCCUGUUAAGUCAGGUAACGAGCGAGAUCCCUGCCUCUAGUUGCCACCAUUACUCUCAGGAGUAGUGGGGCGAAUUAGCGGGACCGCCGCAGUUAAUGCGGAGGAAGGAAGGGGCCACGGCAGGUCAGUAUGCCCCGAAACUCUGGGGCCACACGCGGGCUGCAAUGGUAACGACAAUUGGUUUCGAAUCCGAAAGGAUGAGGUAAUCCUCAAACGUUACCACAGUUAUGACUGAGGGCUGCAACUCGCCCUCACGAAUAUGGAAUCCCUAGUAACUGCGUGUCAUUAUCGCGCGGUGAAUACGUCCCUGCUCCUUGCACACACCGCCCGCCGUUUCAUUGAAGUGAGCUUUUAGCGAGGUGACGUCUAAUUGGCGUUAUCGAACUUGAGGUUCGUGACAAGGGAAAAGUCGUAACAAGGUGACCGUAGGGGAACCUGCGGUCGGAUCA